AGAGCUCCAGGAAGAGAGGAGAGAAACCUCUAUGCUGCUUUUAACUACCUAAGCAGCACCAACAGCAAUCUGUGCCUUCCUAUUGGACCCAAUCUUUCAGAAGUCACACCCACCAUUGUGGAGUGAGCAGGAUCUUGGGGAGGUUCUUAGAGAGAAGAGGACAGAGGGAAGGACAAAGAGCUGGAGUUUGUAACAGAUUUAGUCUCUAUUUUGGUCAGGUCCACCUUGGAGUGGAGGACAGCCGAGAGGGAAUGUCUUGCUUGCCAGCUCCCCUGCAGACUGACCACUCAAAACCAGAGAUAGCUGAAAUCAAUCAGCAAUGGGUGCCUACUCAUGGACACCAACUGCACACAGA
rnacentral:lncRNA from 1 species